rnacentral:rRNA from 1 species
UACGGGGGGAGCAAGCGUUGUUCGGAUUUACUGGGCGUAAAGGGCGCGUAGGCGGCGCAAAAAGUCACUUGUGAAAUCUCCGGGCUUAACCCGGAGCGGCCAAGUGAUACUGUCGUGCUAGAGUGCGGAAGGGGCUACUGGAAUUCUCGGUGUAGCGGUGAAAUGCGUAGAUAUCGAGAGGAACACCUGCGGCGAAGGCGGGUAGCUGGGCCGACACUGACGCUGAGGCGCGAAAGCCAGGGGAGCGAACGGG